rnacentral:rRNA from 1 species
GUAGGUGGCAAGCGUUGUCCGGAAUUAUUGGGGCGUAAAGCGCGCGCAGGUGGUUCUUUAAGUCUGAUGUGAAAGCCCCCCGGGCUCAACCGGGGGAGGGUCAUUGGAAACUGGGGAACUUGAGUGCAGGAGAGGAAAGUGGAAUUCCACGUGUAGCGGUGAAAUGCGUAGAUAUGUGGAGGAACACCAGUGGCGAAGGCGACUUUCUGGCCUGUAACUGACACUGAGGCGCGAAAGCGUGGGGAGCAAACAGGAUUAGAUAUCCUGGUAGUCCACGCCGUAAACGAUGAGUGCUAAGUGUUGGGGGGUUUCCGCCCCUCAGUGCUGCAGCUAACGCAUUAAGCACUCCGCCUGGGGAGUACGGUCGCGAGACUG